GCGCUCGUGCUGGAAUUGGUAGACAGGCAUGCUUGAGGUGCAUGUGUCGGUUACGACGUGGAAGUUCAAGUCUUCUCGGGCGCACCA
rnacentral:tRNA from 3 species